UCAGCCGCCGCGGUAAUACGGAGGGUGCAAGCGUUAUCCGGAUUCACUGGGUUUAAAGGGUGCGUAGGCGGGCAGGUAAGUCAGUGGUGAAAUCCUAGAGCUUAACUCUAGAACUGCCAUUGAUACUAUCUGUCUUGAAUAUUGUGGAGGUAAGCGGAAUAUGUCAUGUAGCGGUGAAAUGCUUAGAUAUGACAUAGAACACCUAUUGCGAAGGCAGCUUACUACGCAUAUAUUGACGCUGAGGCACGAAAGCGUGGGGAUCAAACAGGAUUAGAUACCCUGGUAGUCCACGCCCUAAACGAUGGAUACUCGACAUACGCGAUACACUGUGUGUGUCUGAGCGAAAGCAUUAAGUAUCCCACCUGGGAAGUACGACCGCAAGGUUGAAACUUAAAGGAAUUGGCGGGGGAC
rnacentral:rRNA from 1 species